GAACAAGGUCUCCGUUGGUGAACCAGCGGAGGGAUCAUUA
rnacentral:rRNA from 8 species